UCUUCUUGUGGAGUCUUUCUUUUUUACUGAGAUAAGUAAACAGAGGAGGAGAAGUAAAACACAGCAAAGAGUAAAAGGGAAAAUAUUAAAACAAGAUUUGGAAUGUAGUGGGAAGAUUUAGUUCUAAUGAGGGCAUUGGAGCCAAAGUGUAUUUUAACCGAGGGGCAGCAUGUCGAAAUGCAUGAAGACUUCCUCACAUGGCCACAGUAAAGUCUGGGCAGAAAAGGUCCAAUGAAGUACAACACAGAUGGCAAUCCCCAA